rfam:Schistosoma mansoni strain Puerto Rico chromosome 1, complete genome
AUCCAGGUGACGAGUCCUAAAUAGGACGAAGAGCGUGUUCUGGAU